rnacentral:misc_RNA from 1 species
GAAUUUUGAAAGGCAAGGGCUUGAUGCUGGCGCGGAGACGCGGAUGUGCGCGGCCCUUGUCCUCAAUCCAUUCAACCCCUGUGCACCUCAUGGGAGUUAUUAGCCGGCAGGAAUGUAAUGCUAGUAGUCGAGGGGCGAAAGCUUACGGAUCGUCGGUGAACACUUCAACUAUUAUCAACCUUUGUUGUCAUGUAGAAUGUAAUGCUCCUUGUGGGCGAAAUGAAAUACAACUUUCAACAACGGAUCUCUUGGCUCC